UCCCCUUACAAAUAAUAAUGACUGGUCUUUCCGAUUUUUCAUAUUUUAAACUCCAAGAAAGAUAUCAAGGGCGAGAAGUUGACACCCGCUAUACCUUUUUGUUCACAAAUCGCAGUGAUUCGUAGAGACAGAGGUAAAAGACUAAAAAACGAAGAAGGCUCCAAUAACCAACCUGCAGUCAAACCUCACGUUUUUGUACUUAUAUUAUUAUGCUCACGUUUUAUUAUUUAAAUAUUUACACUGGUAAAAUAGCCUUAAUCAGCACUUUCAAGGCAACUUUGGUAUAUUUGGACUUUUAGAUGUAAGAAGACAACCGAGUUUUCCUACUUUGUCGACACCUGACUCUCGUGUCGGUAGCCAUGGUACCUCGUCGAAGGAAACUUAAAAUUGAGUGUUAAUCUUCCUAAAAAUAAAUGAUUAGAACGCGAAUGAAGAAAAUAAUCAAGUGUUGACAAAGUAGUAAACCUCUAUUUUUUCGUUCCAAUUUGUCGAAAAUUCAAAACCUAAAGACUAGACUUUUAGAUGCGGUUCAUCAAUACUUCAAAUACUUAAAUAAAUAAAGAAAGUUAAAUCUGGCGGAUGAUUUCAAAGUUGCAGAGGAGGCAAACAUGUUAAAAAUUGGUGCUAAUAGCUAGUUCUAAAGAUUACAACAAAAUUGCAGAAGCAGAUUUGCAAAACUAAACUUACUGGCUGAUAGAAAAAUGUGUUCCUGCUGAUGUCCAUGAACAUGAAUUUAUCUAUACAAUACAUUACUGCAGAGUGGUCCAAGUAUUCCUGAGCAAAUAUUUCUCAACGUCAGAAGGAAAUGCAUGCAUUAUUUCAGUGUUAGUUUAUUUGUAUCUAUUAUAAUUUGCUUUAGUUGCUACGCCAAUGCUGAACUGAUCUGAACUUGAAAAACUGUA